GGAUAUGAUGGCAAUUUAGUUGUGACAUGUCUCCCCACAGAACACCAGCACUGAUUUUAUGACCUGCUGCUAGCUAGGCCGGUGUCCCCGUUCUCCCUCACAGCUCCAUGUGCAUUCUUCUGGAAGCUGUGCAUUUAUUUGGUCAAAGCAGACAACUUUCCAAGAGAAGAGUACCAUUCUUCAGUCAAGAGAACAUGAGUAGCUGUGCUCCCCUACUAGAACCUCCAAACGAGGUUUCAAGGUCAAUGGCUAAUGCCAAAGUCAUUACCAAGGCCCUUAAUUUCAUCUCCAAAU
ensembl:misc_RNA 7SK 7SK RNA